UGUCCUUGGGUGAGGAUUAAAAAACACACAACAACAACUACAAAAGGCUAACCAAGGGCUACAGGUGCUGGGUUUGAAUCCUGGUACUACAUGUAGUGCCAUCAAGGACUUUGUCCAUGGAGGUGGUGUUCCAAAUGUUUGAGGAGAGAGGAACCUGUAUGUUCAAGGAUGUGGCCGUGGACCUAACCAAGGAGGAGUGGGGGCAACUGGACCCUGCACAGAGGGCCCCGUACAAAGACGUGAGCUGGAGAUCUAUGGCGACCUGGUGUUAGUGGAUGGGGACAACUGCUCAUUGGAGAAUUCUUGUUUCCUUGGUGGUUAAAAGCU